AGGGCGCACGGUGGAUGCCUUGGCAUUGAUAGGCGAUGAAGGACGUGGUAAGCUGCGAUAAGCUUCGGGGAGCUGCAAACAAGCUUUGAUCCGGAGAUGUCCGAAUGGGAAAACCCGGCAGGAAUAAUGUCCUGUCACCGGAGUCUGAAUAAAAUAGGGCUUCGGAGCGAGACCCGGUGAAGUGAAACAUCUCAGUAACCGGAGGAAAAGAAAACAAUAGUGAUUCCGUAAGUAGUGGCGAGCGAACGCGGAACAGUCUAAACCAUUCUGUUUACAGGAUGGGGUUGCGGGACCACGAGUUGAGACUUGAAUAGAUAGCGGAACGUUCUGGAAAGUUCGGCGAAACAGGGUGAUAGCCCCGUAUGCGAAAUCUUGACAAGCUCUAGUGGUAUCCCAAGUAGGUCGGAACACGUGAAACUCUGACUGAAUCCGGGGGGCCCACCCCCCAAGACUAAAUACUCAUCAAUGACCGAUAGCGAACCAGUACCGUGAGGGAAAGGUGAAAAGAACCCCUGUUAGGGGAGUGAAACAGAACCUGAAACCGUGCGCUUACAAACUGUAGUAGCCCUUUAGGGGGUGGCUGCAUGCCUUUUGCAUAAUGAGUCCGCGAGUUACCCUAUGUGGCAAGGUUAAGGAAUUACGUUCCGGAGCCGAAGCGAAAGCGAGUGUUAAUAGCGCGUCAUAGUCGCAUGGGGUACACCCGAAACCGGGUGAGCUACCCAUGGCCCGGGUGAAACCUCAGUAAGAUGAGGUGGAGGCCCAAACCAUUGUAUGUUGAAAAAUGCUUGGAUGAGCUGUGGGUUGGAGUGAAAGGCUUACCAAACUCGGUGAUAGCUGGUUCUCCUCGAAAUACCUUGAGGGAUAGCCUCGACGAAUGCUCGUAACGGAGGUAGAGCACUGAUUGGAAUAGGGCCCAUACCAGGGUACCAACGCCUAUCAAACUCCGAAUGCCGUUUCAGUCACGUCGGGAGUCAGACUGCGGGGGAUAAGCUUCGUAGUCGAGAGGGAAACAGCCCAGACCGCCAGCUAAGGUCCCUAAAGAUAGUUAAGUGAUGAAGGCAGUGAGAUUGCACAGACAGCUAGGAUGUUGGCUUAGAAGCAGCCACCAUUUAAACAAAGCGUAAUAGCUGACUAGUCGAGUGGUCUUGCGCCGAAAAUGAUCGGGACUAAAACUAUCUACCGAAGCUGCGGAUGUGUUCUUUUUGAACACGUGGUAGAGGAGCGUUGUAUAUGCACUGAAGUGUGGGGGCAACCCAGCAUGGAGCGUAUACAAGUGAUUAUGCGGACAUGAGUAACGACAAGACGGGUGAGAGUCCCGUCCGCCGAAAUCCUAAGGUUUCCUGGGGAAGGUUCGUCCGCCCAGGGUUAGUCGGCCCCUAAGGCGAGGCUGAAAAGCGUAGUCGAUGGGAAACGGGUUUAAUAUUCCCGUACCGCCGGUUUGACAUUUGAGUGAAGGAGGGACGCAGGAGGCUACGUGAGCUGUCUAUUGGAUGACAGUCUAAGUGCGUAGGGUAAGAGACAGGUAAAUCCGUCUCUGUUUGCCUGAGACACGAUGGGACACAGCGACUACGGUCAAUGUGGAUUCACUGAUGCCAUGCUGCCAAGAAAAGCUUCUAGCGAGUCAAACAGGUGACCGUACCAAAACCGACACAGGUAGGAAGGAUGAAUAUUCCAAGGCGCGCGAGAGAAAUAUCGUUAAGGAACUCGGCAAAUUAACCCCGUAUCUUCGGAAGAAGGGGUCCUCUUUCAGGUUAAAGAUUUACUCUGUAAGCCUGGACGAGGUGCAAUGAAAGGGUGGGUGCGACUGUUUAUCAAAAACAUAGCACUAUGCUAACUCGCAAGAGGAUGUAUAUGGUGUGACACGUGACCAAUGCCAAAAGGUUAAGGUAAGAGGUGCAAGCUUCGAACCGAAGCCCUGGUGAAUGUCGGCCGUAACUAUAACGGUCCUAAGGUAGCGAAAUUCCUUGUCGGGUAAGUUCCGACCUGCACGAAUCGUGUAACGAUGCCCACACUGUCUCAACGAUAAUCUCGGUGAAGUUGUAGUUCCGGUGAAAAUGCCGGAUACCCGCGGUAGGACGGAAAGACCCCGUGAACCUUUACUGUAAUCUGAUAUUGGGUUUUGAAUACCCAUGUGUAGGAUAGCUGGGAGGCUUUGAAGCAUGCUCGUCAGGGUGUGUGGAGCCAUUGGUGAAAUACCAGUCUUUGCUAUUUAGAAUUCUAACCUCGAUCCCAUGAAACUGGGCGGGGAACAGUGUCAGAGGGUCAGUUUGACUGGGGCGGUUUCCUCCCAAAAAGUAACGGAGGAGCGCAAAGGUUCCCUCAGCAUGGUCAGCAAUCAUGCGUAGAGCGUAUAGGUAGAAGGGAGCUUGACUGCGAGACCUACAAGUCGAGCAGGUGCGAAAGCAGGUCUAAGUGAUCCGGCGGUUGCUAGUGGUAGCGCCGUCGCUCAACGGAUAAAAGGUACUCCGGGGAUAACAGGCUGAUGAUUGCCAAGAGUCCAUAUCGACGCAAUCGUUUGGCACCUCGAUGUCGGCUCAUCGCAUCCUGGGGCUGGAGAAGGUCCCAAGGGUUGGGCUGUUCGCCCAUUAAAGCGGUACGCGAGCUGGGUUCAGAACGUCGU
rnacentral:rRNA from 1 species